AGGAACAAGAAAACCGAGAGAGAAUUUACCAUAACGCACUCAAAGUUUUUAUGUUUGAUUUUCAGUUCAAUGGACAACAGUUAUGUGUGGAUGCUGCCAGAGAGGAUGGAUCACUAGGGAGACUGGUAAAUGACGACGAAGUGAACCCAAACAGCAAAAUUAAAGUUACAAGAGUGGAUGGAAGACCCCAUCUGUGUUUAUUCGCAAUCAAAGAUAUUGGUUCAGGGGAAGAAAUCACUUAUAACUAUGGUAAUUCGGAUUGGCCAUGGAGAAGCAAGGUAGUUAUAUAAAGUUUAUAUAAAGUUAUCUUAAGUAGAAAUAGUAGUAUAGAGUGGUUAAAGGGGUCAUAUAAUGGUAUGUUUUUUCCAGUCAGAUUUGAGCCGUUCGACCUAGUGACAUCACUUUAUCGGACGCCACUCUCACGAUUGAUAAUUGACAAGAUGAGACUUAUUUAGACUUGACUAUUUCAACUUGUUCAGUCCUAUUCAAAAUGUUAGAAACUGACAAGUAAACAGAUUUCUGUUGACCUUAUUUAUCAAUAUAAACUAAUAUGAGGUAUAUCUUGAAGUGUCUAAACUCAUAGGUCCUGUGUAAUCCUCACCAUGUAAGGUUCAGACAUUAGCAGGUCUGUUAGUUUUGUGCAUUAGAUAUGAACUCAUGAGAAUGAUAUUAAGUAGUAGUAUUGAGACGCACGGUCCUGUGUAACCAUUAAGGUACAAACUCUCGAUGACUUUUCGUCUCUUGAUUAGUUUAGACUUCCAAAGAGAUGCCAUGUCAGGCUGCUGAUGUGGACAAAUGCAGUUCCUUUGCAGUCAUUCCAAAGACUUCCAAAGAGAUGCCAUGUCAGGCUGCUGAUGUGGACAAAUGCAGUUCCUUUGCAGUCAUUCCAAAGACUUCCAAAGAGAUGCCAUGUCAGGCUGCUGAUGUGGACAAAUGCAGUUCCUUUGCAGUCAUUCCAAAGACUUCCAAAGAGAUGCCAUGUCAGGCUGCUGAUGUGGACAAAUGCAGUUCCUUUGCAGUCAUUCCAAAGACUUCCAAAGAGAUGCCAUGUCAGGCUGCUGAUGUGGACAAAUGCAGUUCCUUUGCAGUCAUUCCAAAGACUUCCAAAGAGAAGCCAUGUCAGGCUGCUGAUGUGGACAAAUGCAGUUCCUUUGCAGUCAUUCCAAAGACUUCCAAAGAGAUGCCAUGUCAGGCUGCUGAUGUGGACAAAUGCAGUUCCUUUGCAGUCAUUCCAAAGACUUCCAAAGAGAUGCCAUGUCAGGCUGCUGAUGUGGACAAAUGCAGUUCCUUUGCAGUCAUUCCAAAGACUUCCAAAGAGAUGCCGUGUCAGGCUGCUGAUGUGGACAAAUGCAGUUCCUUUGCAGUCAUUCCAAAGACUUCCAAAGAGAUGCCGUGUCAGGCUGCUGAUGUGGACAAAUGCAGUUCCUUUGCAGUCAUUCCAAAGACUUCCAAAGAGAAGCCAUGUCAGGCUGCUGAUGUGGACAAAUGCAGUUCCUUUGCAGUCAUUCCAAAGGACUGUGUUCAUGAUCUUGUCCCUGAAGAAAUGUCAAGUUUAGAAAAAUGUGUCACAUGUGGCGGA
ensembl:lncRNA